rnacentral:tRNA from 1 species
CCUUCGAUAGCUCAGUUGGUAGAGCGGAGGACUGUAGAUCCUUAGGUCGCUGCGAAUCCGGCUCGAAGGA